UACGUAGGGGGCAAGCGUUGUCCGGAUUUAUUGGGCGUAAAGAGCGUGUAGGCGGCUUGGUAGGUCCGCUGUGAAAACUCGAGGCUCAACCUCGAGAUGUCGGCGGAAACCACUUGGCUAGAGUCCGGAAGAGGAGAGUGGAAUUCCUGGUGUAGCGGUGAAAUGCGCAGAUAUCAGGAAGAACACCUAUGGCGAAGGCAGCUCUCUGGGACGGUACUGACGCUGAGACGCGAAAGCGUGGGGAGCAAACGGG
rnacentral:rRNA from 1 species